rnacentral:rRNA from 1 species
GAUGAACGCUGGCGGCGUGCCUAAUACAUGCAAGUCGAGCGAACAGACGAGGAGCUUGCUCCUCUGACGUUAGCGGCGGACGGGUGAGUAACACGUGGAUAACCUACCUAUAGGACUGGGAUAACUUCGGGAAACCGGAGCUAAUACCGGAUAAUAUAUUGAACCGCAUGGUUCAAUAGUGAAAGACGGUUUUGCUGUCACUUAUAGAUGGAUCCGCGCCGCAUUAGCUAGUUGGUAAGGUAACGGCUUACCAAGGCAACGAUGCGUAGCCGACCUGAGAGGGUGAUCGGCCACACUGGAGCUGAGACACGGUCCAGACUCCUACGGGAGGCAGCAGUAGGGAAUCUUCCGCAAUGGGCGAAAGCCUGACGGAGCAACGCCGCGUGAGUGAUGAAGGUCUUCGGAUCGUAAAACUCUGUUAUUAGGGAAGAACAAAUGUGUAAGUAACUAUGCACGUCUUGACGGUACCUAAUCAGAAAGCCACGGCUAACUCCGUGCCAGCCGCCGCAGUAA